rnacentral:lncRNA from 1 species
CUCUCAGGACCAACUGACCCAUGUUCAACUGCUGUUCACAAUAAUAAUCCUUUAAUAUCAUCAAGUAUCCAGGCAGUGUUUAACUUCUUCUGUUUGUCUCAUAAAUUGUUUUGUCUGUUUAUCUGAGUCAGGAUCCAAAUAAGGUCCUUAUAAUUGUGAUUGGUUUUGUAUCUUAAAACAUAAAGAAACUUAAAAAGAGCCGAGUUUUAAAACCACAAAAUCCAAAUUCAGGUCAGGUGACAUUUGUUUCAUUCUCAUUCAACAGAUAUUUAUCAAGGACUUCAAAUGCACCAGGCCUGUGCCCUACGCUGGGAUACAGUGAUGACCAAGAGCAUACCUAGAACCUGUGCCAUAGAGGGAAUCUGGUAUGGAACCAGAAAACGGGCACAGGAACCAAAUUUGAAUUUUCUCUGAAAUUCACAACCUUUCCCUGUUUAUGUAAUAAACCAUCCUUUUCUCACUGAUGUGAAAUGCUAUUUUUGUCAUAUAUUUAAUUAUCAUAUAUACACAGAUUUUUUUCUAGACUCCCUGUUGUACAUAUUCCCCUGGUCUAAUUGCCUAUUCCUAUACAUGUACCAUGCUGUUUUCAUGGUUGUUGCUUUAUAAUACAUUUGAUAGCUAGUAUUAUAUACAUAAUAUUAUAUGCUUAUAUUUCAAAUUUUUAUUUUGGCUAAUUUUAUCCUUCCAGUUAAACUUUAUUAUCAAGUUGC